CCUCAAAUCAGCAAGACUGUCCUAGGCUGCUUGCUUUCCGAUUUUUUGCACCUGCAUCAUGGUCCAGAAAGUGCCUAUAGGCAAACACAAAUAGAUCUUCAGUCGUGAAGCCUAGGCCACCUGUUGGACAGUGGAGCCCAGGCUGAAAUGCUGGGUCCCUAAGGAACCUGUAGGAAAGGUGCUUGGAGAAUAAAGUCACACUUGGCUGCUUAUAUCCAGACCCUUCUAUGUCAGCCCCAGGUAAAAGGCCUUCCUGGAGACAUAGUGGUUCCUGCAGUUCUGCACGACUGGAAACGAGUGCCAUUACAGGAGUCAUGGAUGAUCACACAGUGAUCACAUAAUUCUAAGUCUCAUCGGAAAUUUCAGUUCAGAAUCAAAUUCAAUGACGUUAUGGUACCUUAAAGGGCGAUCCGAUAAAUUUUUAAAUGCAG
rnacentral:lncRNA from 1 species